rfam:Acetothermia bacterium 64_32 S_OP1_64_33_1, whole genome shotgun sequence.
AUGUCCGAUUCCAAGCUCCCCGACGCCCAGGCCGGCUACGAAAAGGCCCUCACGGCGCUCCUUGUGGGGAUGGCUGGGGCCAACUUCAUCCACGACGCCG